UACGUAGGGUGCAAGCGUUGUCCGGAAUUAUUGGGCGUAAAGAGCUCGUAGGCGGUCUGUUGCGUCGGCUGUGAAAACCCGAGGCUCAACCUCGGGCCUGCAGCCGAUACGGGCAGACUAGAGUUCGGUAGGGGAGACUGGAAUUCCUGGUGUAGCGGUGAAAUGCGCAGAUAUCAGGAGGAACACCGGUGGCGAAGGCGGAUCUCUGGGCCGAUACUGACGCUGAGGAGCGAAAGCGUGGGGAGCGAACAGG
rnacentral:rRNA from 1 species